CGGGGCGGCCCGCGGGGGGGGGGGGGGGGUUUAAAAAACCGAGGUUUUUUCCCCAACACCCCCUCCCUUUUUUUUUUGGAAAGGGAAAAAGGCCCCCGAGAAAAAAUUUUGGGUUUAAUUUUUUUUUAAUAACCCCCCCCAAAGUUUCCCAUUUUUUUCCAUGUUUAAAGGUUUUCGGGAAAAAGAAGGGGCUUGCGUUCCUUUUAAUUUUUUUGGGGAGGGUAAAGGGUCCCCCAAGACUUAGAAUAGGUAGGGGGUUUGAAAAGGAUUAUCCCCCCCCACUGGGUAUUGAGACACGGACCCAGAUUCUUCGGGAGGCAGCAGUGAGGAAUUUUGCGCAUGGACGAAAGUCUGACGCAGCCAUGCCGCGUGAAGGAUGACGGCGCUCCGCGUUGUAAACUUCUUUUAUAUACCAAGAAACCUUCGGACGUGUCCGAAGCCGACGGUAGUAUAUGAAUAAGCACCGGCUAACUCCGUGCCAGCAGCCGCGGUAAUACGGAGGGUGCAAGCGUUAUCCGGAUUUAUUGGGUUUAAAGGGUCCGUAGGCGGAUCAUUAAGUCAGUGGUGAAAGCCGACAGCUCAACUGUCGAACUGCCAUUGAUACUGGUGAUCUUGAGUACGGUUGAAGUAGGCGGAAUAUGACAUGCAGCGGUGAAAUGCUUAGAUAUGUCAUAGAACACCGAUUGCGAAGGCAGCCUACUAAGCCGUUACUGACGCUGAGGGACGAAAGUGUGGGGAGCGAACAGGAUUAGAUACCCUGGUAGUCCACACCGUAAACGAUGAUUACUCGGUAUUGGCUUUAUUGUCAGUGCCCAAGCGAAAGUGAUAAGUAAUCCACCUGGGGAGUACGGCCGCAAGGUUGAAACUCAAAGGAAUUGACGGGGGCCCGCACAAGCGGUGGAGCAUGUGGUUUAAUUCGAUGAUACGCGAGGAACCUUACCAGGGCUUAAAUGUAGAACGACCGGGGUGGAAACACCCCCUUUUUCGAACGGUCUACAAGGUGCUGCAUGGUUGUCGUCAGCUCGUGCUGUGAAGUGUCGGGUUAAGUCCCAUAACGAGCGCAACCCCUAUUUCUAGUUGCCAGCGGUUCGGCCGGGGACUCUAGAGAAACUGCCAGCGUAAGCUGUGAGGAAGGUGGGGACGACGUCAAAUCAUCACGGCCCUUACGUCCUGGGCCACACACGUGCUACAAUGGUGGGGACAACGAGUUGCCAACCCGCAAGGGUGAGCUAAUCUCUCAAACCCCAUCUCAGUUAGGAUCGGAGUCUGCAACUCGACUCCGUGAAGUUGGAAUCGCUAGUAAUCGCGCAUCAGCCAUGCGCUCGGAAUCUCCGCGG
rnacentral:rRNA from 1 species